GCCCAGUUCGCAUAGUGGUAUUGCACGAGAUUGCUAAUCUCGGCCCUUCGGGGCUCGCAGGUUCGAUUCCUGCACUGGGCG
rnacentral:tRNA from 1 species